AUGGCAAUGAAGGAGAUGGUUCUGGAAGUCAGUCCCUUCGCCGGAGGACAAAGCGUGCUGCUAAUCGCCAGCGACGCCCAAAACGUAGUGUUGAGCAGGGAGAGGAAGAUGAUGAUGUUGAUCGGUUCCGGGUUGCAAAGCGGACUAAACGUGCAGCAGCAGCAGGGCGAGCUGAAUCAUCUACUAGGGCAGCAGUUGGUGGAGGAGCUGCCUCAUCUUCCGCAGCAGAUGCUGAGCUAUGUGGCCAGCGUUGAAGGAGUUGAGGUGGCCGCCCGGGAAGAAGUGGAGCGACCAUCACAAGCUGGCAGGUUAAGGGCAUCACCAGGGCGGUUUGCGAAGUUCAACAGCUCGUUAUCCCCACUACAGAAGUCAGAGCUAGUUUUAAGGUUGUUUGGGGGCCUCUUGAAUUUAUCAGAUACACUUCCAGGGGACUUCAGUAAAUUCCUGGUGCAGUCCUACCAGCCAGAGACAUCUGAAAUGGUGUUCCCAGGCAGGGGAAGUAUCCGUGUCGAUGCUGACAGUGUUCAAAGGGUAUUUGAUCUUCCUAACAGGGGUCUAAAAGUCAGUUAUAAAGUUGACAAGGAUACAACUAGGAGAUCCAGAGAGACUUUCAACGUAACUGGAAGUUCUCAUCCCCAGAUCAGUACAUGGACCAAGAUGAUUAAGGAUAUGGGGGGAAGAACGGAUGACACAUUCUUUAUGGCUUGA
rnacentral:rRNA from 1 species